AAAUUGAAGAGUUUGAUCAUGGCUCAGAUUGAACGCUGGCGGCAGGCCUAACACAUGCAAGUCGAACGGUAGCACAGAGAGCUUGCUCUCGGGUGACGAGUGGCGGACGGGUGAGUAAUGUCUGGGAAACUGCCUGAUGGAGGGGGAUAACUACUGGAAACGGUGGCUAAUACCGCAUAACGUCGCAAGACCAAAGAGGGGGACCUUCGGGCCUCUUGCCAUCAGAUGUGCCCAGAUGGGAUUAGCUUGUUGGUGAGGUAACGGCUCACCAAGGCGACGAUCCCUAGCUGGUCUGAGAGGAUGACCAGCCACACUGGAACUGAGACACGGUCCAGACUCCUAGUCUGUCAAGUCGGAUGUGAAAUCCCCGGGCUCAACCUGGGAACUGCAUUCGAAACUGGCAGGCUUGAGUCUUGUAGAGGGGGGUAGAAUUCCAGGUGUAGCGGUGAAAUGCGUAGAGAUCUGGAGGAAUACCGGUGGCGAAGGCGGCCCCCUGGACAAAGACUGACGCUCAGGUGCGAAAGCGUGGGGAGCAAACAGGAUUAGAUACCCUGGUAGUCCACGCCGUAAACGAUGUCUACUUGGAGGUUGUGCCCUUGAGGCGUGGCUUCCGGAGCUAACGCGUUAAGUAGACCGCCUGGGGAGUACGGCCGCAAGGUUAAAACUCAAAUGAAUUGACGGGGGCCCGCACAAGCGGUGGAGCAUGUGGUUUAAUUCGAUGCAACGCGAAGAACCUUACCUGGUCUUGACAUCCACAGAASUUUYCAGAGAUGGAYUGGUGCCUUCGGGAACUGUGAGACAGGUGCUGCAUGGCUGUCGUCAGCUCGUGUUGUGAAAUGUUGGGUUAAGUCCCGCAACGAGCGCAACCCUUAUCCUUUGUUGCCAGCGRUUAGGYCGGGAACUCAAAGGAGACUGCCAGUGAUAAACUGGAGGAAGGUGGGGAUGACGUCAAGUCAUCAUGGCCCUUACGACCAGGGCUACACACGUGCUACAAUGGCGCAUACAAAGAGAAGCGACCUCGCGAGAGCAAGCGGACCUCAUAAAGUGCGUCGUAGUCCGGAUUGGAGUCUGCAACUCGACUCCAUGAAGUCGGAAUCGCUAGUAAUCGUGGAUCAGAAUGCCACGGUGAAUACGUUCCCGGGCCUUGUACACACCGCCCGUCACACCAUGGGAGUGGGUUGCAAAAGAAGUAGGUAGCUUAACCUUCGGGAGGGCGCUUACCACUUUGUGAUUCAUGACUGGGGUGAAGUCGUAACAAGGUAACCGUAGGGGAACCUGCGGUUGGAUCACCUCCUUA
rnacentral:rRNA from 1 species